rnacentral:lncRNA from 1 species
CCAAUGACACUUCACCUCAUACCUCCUCCCACACAACCACCAGAUCUUCUAGAGUAUCCCAGCCACCCAAAUAUCUCUCUGAUUAUCACUGUUAUUUAGCUUCUUCUACUCCUCAUUUUGAUAUAUCCAACUCCACUCCUUACCCCUUAUCUGAUGUCAUCUCCUACAAUAAACUUUCCCCUUCUUUUCGUGCAUUUUCUAUUUCCAUUUCCACCAUCACAGAACCAACAACAUAUGCUGAGGCAGUCGUUGUACCCGAGUGGCAGCAUGCUAUGCGAGCUGAACUGCAAGCUUUAGAGUCCAAUAAUACCUGGUCUUUGUGCACUCUACCCCCUGGAAAAACAGCAAUUGGUUGCAAAUGGCUUUAUCGUGUUAAAUAUCAUGCUGAUGGUUCUAUUGAAAGGUACAAAGCACGACUUGUUGCCAAAGGGUUCACACAGCAGGAAGGUGUUGAUUUUUUUGAUACUUUUUCACCUGUUGCCAAGAUGGUUACUGUCAAGGUAUUACUCUCUCUUGCUUCUAUUUACAAUUGGCAUUUGACUCACCUUGAUGUCAACAAUGCAUUUUUGCACGGUGAUCUGUCUGAAGAAGUUUUCAUGCAUCUUCCUCCUGGUUAUCACCGUGAGGGGGAGCCUUUAUUACCUUCCAACACAGUUUGUAAGUUACACAAAUCCAUCUAUGGCUUGAGACAAGCAUCUAGGCAGUGGUUUGCAAAAUUCUCUGGUGUUCUAAUCUCUGAAGGCUUUCAGCAAUCUCAUUCAGAUUAUUCUCUAUUUAUCAAGACAGCAGGAAAUGAUUUUAUUGCUUUGUUAGUGUAUGUUGAUGACAUAAUAGUUGCUAGUAACAACAAGAUUGCUGCUGAUAAUUUGAAGAAUUCUCUCAACAAAAGCUUCAAAUUAAAGGAUCUAGGAAAUCUCAAGUAUUUUCUUGGACUUGAAGUAGCUAGAUCAGCUAAAGGGAUCCUGAUAAACCAGAGAAAAUAUGCUCUGGAACUCCUAUCUGAAACAGGCUACUUAGGAUGCAAACCUGCCAAAACUCCAAUGCAACCGAAUAUGCAACUUUCUCAAGAUGAUGGAGAGCUGCUAACAGAUCCCAGCAUGUACAGAAGGCUCAUAGGGAAGCUUAUAUACCUUACUAUCACCAGGCCAGACCUAACUUACUCGGUGAACAAGUUGAGCCAAUUCCUAAGUCAACCGAGGAGACCACAUUUGCAAGCAGUCUAUAGGAUUCUUCAAUAUAUCAAAGGCUCACCAGGCAAAGGUAUUUUCUUCUCAGCUUCCUCAUCUCUUCAAUUAAAGGCCUUCUCAGAUUCUGAUUGGGCAGCAUGCCCAGAUUCUAGAAAAUCAGUUACUGGAUUUUGUAUAUUUCUUGGAGAUUCUUUGAUAUCAUGGAAAUAAAAAAAGCAAAGGACAGUUUCAAGAUCCUCAGCUGAAGCAGAGUAUCGAGCAAUGGCUCAUGUGACUUGUGAGCUAACAUGGUUGAUUGCCUUACUCAAGGACUUAGGAGUUCCACACACACAACCUGCUUUGUUGUACUGUGACAACCAAGCUGCUCUACACAUUGCUGCAAACCCGGUCUUCCAUGAGCGUACUAAACACAUAGAGAUAGAUUGUCAUAUUGUAAGAGAGAAGAUUCAAACAGGUAUGCUCAAAACUCUGCAUGUUGCUUCACAACAUCAAUUGGCUGAUAUACUUACCAAACCUCUCUUUCCUGAUCAAUUCAAUUCUCUCAUAGACAAGAUGGGAAUGUAUAACAUAUACAUUCCAUCUUGAGGGGGAGUAUUAAAAUUGAUUACUGUGAAAAUUGCCUUCCUUGUUGAACAAAGAAAUAUGCAGAGUUUGUUAGGUUGUUACAAGUUAGUGGAAUUUUUUUAUUUUGUUAUUUUUCAUUUUCUGGAUGAGCUGGACUCUUCUCGAUUGUUCCAAGCCUUCCUAUAUAUGUAGCUACUGUACAAUAAGUGGGGGUGAAAUCAAUGAAUUAGUUUUAUUUCCCUCUCAGGCCUUUGUUUGCCUUUCUUGCCAUUUACCUUUUAUUUUUCUAUUAAAGAAUAAUAAAAAUUAUGAAAUUUGAAAAAGUGUUAUAAAAAACUAAUCCAAAGAGGAUCCAUGCGCCAUGACACACGCUAAUGUUCAAUCAUUUGACAGUAUUGGGGUAUAGAUACCUCGAUGUUACAGUCAAAGGACCGCCUGGUUUUUGGGCCCAUAACUUUUUGUUUGAUGGAUUCUGAUUCGGACCAAUCUCCUCAAUCCCAACCCGGCCUGUAGGUCCAAGAAUUUGUGAUUUAAUCAAGCGGCCACCGCCUAACAAAGAAAGUAUCACACCAUGUGAUCUGCCAUGUAUCACAUGGAAUUGGCUGAUUCUAUUCUUCAAAGGUCGAGAAUCCAUUCUCAUUCAAGUUGAUGAGUAGAGACCUGGCCCCUACAUAUAUAUAUAUAUAUAUAUAUAACAGGAUAGGAACUUUGGCAGGCUCCACCUGGGAAAUUAAUGAGCCGAAGGAUGUUGAAAUUGGAUUAAUAUAAGAUUUUUAUAGAGGGACCCAUCUAAAAGCUGAAUCUUGUGCGGUUUCUAUUAACAAAAAUGCUUGGAACCCUUGAACAAGAAGACAGUUCCACGAUUCCAUCAAAGAUAAUUUGGAAUCAUAAAAUGGCCCACAGUAUAGUCCAUAUGGAGGAAUACCAAAAGCGAGGUCUAUAUAUAUACAUACAUAUCCUUGUUUCCUGAUCACACGCACUUCUUCAGAUAGCUAGCUAGCACUAUUGAAUCCUCCAGAGUAGUCCCUUGAAAAACAUGCCUCGUCAUUGGAAUUACCAUUUUCCCACCCCUGAAGACAGCAAGUCCACAAGUGUUCCCUACACUAAGCAGCAGUUAGAUGAAUUCUUCAAACACCAUGACAAAAACGGCGACAAAUUGCUGAGCAAGGAAGAGCUGAAAAAGGCCUUCGACGAUCUGCAGUCACGUAAUCCUGGGUUUAGAGCAUGGAGAGCGAUGGGCAAAGCUGAUACGAAUGGAGAUCAGCACAUCAGCCAGCAGGAGAUGGAGGCUCUUCUGAAUUAUGCUGUGGGAAUAAAAUAUCAGAUCAAGGCAUAACAACCUUUCACUUACGUGCUUUAUAAUAAGGGGUCAACUAUGUAUGAUGCCCCAUCUUAUGAAUGUUCUCUUUACUCGACUGGGAGCAUAUGUACUUUAGCUUUCUCUAUUAACUAGACAAGUGUAACAGUGGGAGAUGAAGCUCCGUACGUGCCUCCAUUAUAAAAUUUCUAUCUGGGGAUGCUUGGACUAAAAUGAAUCCUUCAUCAGUGCUUGUUUUGAUUUUAUAACCGUUAAUUGACAUUCAGAAGCGAAACCUGUAGACCUUGUCCCGAAAGAACCUCCUCCUUUCUUUAGUUAUUCCUUCCAUCCAUUAUUGUCUUAUAAUAAGAUUUUUUUUUUAAAUUUAAUUAAGGGAACAUCAUGUUAAAAAGGCAAAUUAUGCAAUUUUAGUUUGACUUUUAAAAAUAAAAAGCAAUAAUCACUCCAACAUAAAAGGUGACAACUUUUAAAAAACUUGUCUUAAAAAAAAUGGAUUUUAAAAAUUAUUUUAAAAUUUGAUGUAUCAAAAUAUUUUUAACAUCUAAAAUUUUUAAAAGUAUAAGAUAAAUCUAUAUAUAUAUAUAAGAGCUAUUACAUUUUAUAUAUAUAGCUACAUCAUCUCAUUUAUGAUUUAAUAAAGCUAUUUUUAAAUUUUUAGAAAGGCCACUCAAGAUAUAUACUUGGAUUAUGCAUCCAUAUGAUAAUCAUGAUAGUUGGAGGAGAUGUAUCUUGGAAAAGUGUCAAAUAGAUACAUGUAGCUUCAUCCACUAUAGAAAGGUAGUUGGAUUUUGUGACUUCAAUUAUGCAAGCUGCAUGGCUUGUUUAUGUAUUGCAUGCUUGUGAUAGAUCAUUUUCAUUAUAUUUGUAAUAUUGUAUGUGUACAAUUCCUCAUUUGAAUGGUAAUGUGUGGAUUUGAGACAUUUGAUUUGUCUCAAAAUAUAUUGUUGUUUGAUUCAUAAGUGCUUAAUAAAUCUCGAACGCCUAAUUGUGUGUUUUAAUAUAUCAUAUUAGUUCAUUUUCAUGUAUGACUAUUUCUUGACUCUAUGACUAGUUUUUAGCUCUAUGUGUUUUGUAGGAUAUUUUAAAUUAUUUGACAUUUCGUGGUUGAGUGGGUAUUUAUGUGUGUCUAUGUAUGUAUGGCAUCCUCAAGAGCUACCAUGGACGAGCAAUUUUUGGCUUUCUAUGAUAUGCUUUAAAGUUCAAAUAAGAUAAAAUUAUAUUUUCAUUAAUAUAAUUGUAAUCAUUAUUUUUUUAACAAGUUUGUAAUUAUAUGCAAAAUCAUUACAUUUAUGUAGUUUUAAUAAAACUAUUUUAAAUUUUAUAAAUAAUUUUUAAUUAAAUUUGUUUAUUUGAAAUUAAUGUCCCAACUUUAGUUUCGGUCUCAAAUCAAAGUUAUAAGUAAUACGGUAUUUUCAAUGAGACCUUAUAUUUAAUUGUUACUUAAUUUGAUAAACAUUAUUCAUGAUUAUUUAAAAGUUUUAGAUUUUUUAAGUAAUUUAUAAAACUAUGAAGUUAAAUAUAUCAAUUUGUUUUCUUAUUAAUUAAUGACAUGUAUAAGAAAAGGUUAUAUGAAGUAUAGGUUUUAGAUGUUUUUAUUACUUAUGGUUUAAAUUGUUAAUUUAAAUUAAUUAUUGACAACUUAACAAGUCAACAACACAAAUAAAAAAUAUUUUUUAAAAAUAACAAAAAUAAGAACUUUGUUUUAAUAUAUAUAUAUUUUAAAAAUUGUAAUUAUUUUGAAAACAUAAUUCCUAACAUGUCCAAACUUGUUUAUUACAUAUACAUAGAGAAAUCAGUUUAACAACUAUUUUUAAAAAUGAAGUUCGAUUAUGAGAAACAAAAAAGCAAGAGACAAAAAAAAUGUUCUUAAAAUAUAAUUUUAUAAAUAUAGAGAAUAAUUAAAUAUAAAGCCCUAUAUAUUAGAAUUAUUUUUAAAACAUAUUUAAAAGCCUAAAAAAUAAGUUAAGAAUAUUCCAAAUUUUUAAAAAGACUUUUAUUCUAUUUUGGAAAUGCUUCUCAAACAAACGCCUAAUUCAGACAAUAAAAUUUACAAUUCAAUUGCUUUCAAAGAGAAUACAUAUGGAAGCUAUUAUUAUUUUUCCCCAAAAAAGAUAAUCAAAUUAAGGCUUAUAACCUUUUAACAAUUUUAUGAAAUGACACAUUUUUUUAUAUAUUUAUUAUAAAAGUCUUUCUGAAAAUGUAAUAAUCAAAUACUAACUGAUCUCCUUCUUAAUAGCUUUAUUAAAAUUCUAAAACGCAAAUUUACAUAUUCCUAAUAAACCAUUUUAUGAAAUUAAUUUUCAAAUUCAACGACAUAUAUAUACACGUGCCAUAUAUAUACACGUGCGUGCACACGCACGAAUGUGUGUACUUCAAGAGAACUAGAGCAAUGGAAAGUGGGGAAAACUCUCUUCUUCCAAAAUAUCUCCCCAUAACAAUUUUUAUCUUAGUAUAAAAGUUGUGAUCCCUUGAAGUCUGAAGAUUUCUCCUCCUCUACACUUGAUCGUCCUCACCACAAUGGUACUAGUUCAAGCCUAAAUACAACUUUGAUAAUGUUGUUUCUUAAUCAAGCAUUCACCAUUAGGUCUGAUCGCUCAAAUUAUCUUCUAUGGUGUUCUCAGAUGCUGACUAUUGUGAUUGCUAAUGGACUCGAGGAGAUGAUCGAUAGCUUACAGCCUUGUCCUUCGAAAUUUUUUUAUAACUCUGAGACUACAAAUCCAGAUUUUCAAAUCUAGCAAUGACAUAAUCAUUCAAUCAUGUGCCGGAUUUAUUCAUCUCUCGUCUACCACUUCUGAAAUCUGGAAUGUUCUUCAGAUAUUCUUCUCUACUGUCAAAAGCUAGAAUUAUGCAACUUCGUCUUCAACUUCAGACUAUGAACAAAGUUGGUUUGAAUAUGAUGCAAUAUCUUCUCAAGUGAAAUAUGCUACAGAUAAUCUUGUUGCAAUUGGAGAAUCGAUUUCUGAACAAGACCAUGUUCUUUGCUUGGUGGUUUAAGAGCUGAUUACAACUCCUUUGUGGUCUCUAUGACAUCUAGGCAUGAACCUCUGCAUCUAGAAGAGAUUCACAGUAUCUUGCUUACUUACAAGCAUCGCUUAGAGCAACAGAAUGCCGCCAAUGAAGCAAAUCUUCUCCAGGCAACCGUAGCCUCUCUGCAAUCAUAAGGAAACAAUUAUAAGAAAAAUCAAAGGAAUGGACAAUUCAAGUUUCAAAACCAUAACUAGAGUCAAUUGCAAUUCAACUAGCAACAAUUUGGUCUCACGAACGUGGUUUCUACACCAAUGGACAUUCAAGUAGAGGUAAUAGUCAAGGUAAUUCUUCAAAUAAUUUUGCUAAUUUCUCGAGACCUAAUUUUUCUAGAAAUGAUGAUAGUAAUCCAUAAUGUCAAGUUUGUAACAAAUAUGGUCAUAUUGUUAUCAUCAUUUUGAUCAUUCUUUCCAACCUUUUAUAAACAAUGAACUUGUGGUGAUGAUUGCUUCUUACUAUUGGUGAUGGCAAUUGGUUCAUGGACACUAGUUCUACUCGUCAUCUCACUCCUAAUCUAAACAAUGUCAUAACACCUCUCCUAUUUUCAGGUUCUAACAACAUCGGAAAUGGUACUAGUCUAGAAAUAUCUCAUGUUGGUUCUUCCUCUCUUCUUUCUGGUUCACGACUUUUAAUUCUCAAAAAUGUUUUACAUGUUCCUCGCAUUGCUAUAAAUCUUCUUAGUGUUCAUAAAUUGCCCACUAAUAAUAAAGUAGUGAUUGAAUUCCAUGCUAAUGGUUUCAUUGUAAACGAUCAAACUAUGAAGAAAACUCUUGUCCAAGGCAAAAUUGACAGUGGCCUAUACAAGCUAUGUGCUAUCAAGUCCGUUGAACAGAAUGUUAGUGCCAACUGUGCUAACAUUGAUGCUGGUCUGGUUGCAGCUACUUUAGUCUUGUGUUUUACUUCCCAAUUGAAUUCCAAUAAAGCAAGUUUUUGGCAUAACCUGUUAGGCCAUCCUGCAACUGAAGUGAUGAAUAAAAUAUUAUAUAUUUGUAGUCUUCCUCAAGAACAAUUUUUUGGUGUUUGGUGUAUCUUGUCAAAUGGCCAAAAGCCAAUGUUUACCAUUCCCUCUGUCAAUUUCUAGAGCCUCUCAACCUUUCAAACUUGUGCAUUCUAACCUCUAAGGACCUGCCCCCUGUUGUUGGCGUUAAUAUUGGUGCGAGACAUUUUGUACAUAAGCCUAUUGUCAAGCCAUUCCAACUUGGGUUUUUCAAAUCUUUCCUUAGACUACUUGUCUAAUGAUGAUUAAGAUGUUGAAAUUGCUUAGAGGUAAAUGUAUAUAUUUGAGAUUAUGAAUGUAUGGAAUUAAUCAACUAAGCUUUUUAAAUUUUUGCUUUUUCUUGAAUUAAUUUUUUAGAGUUGAGGAGGCUAGGGUAGCAAUUUUUUUACAAAGUGUUUAUGUGCCUCAUUCUAGGAUCAAUCCCAAUUUAAGUAAGAUCAAUCAAUCUUUUAUUGGAUCUUUUUUAAGCAAUUAGAUCAAGGGUUCCGUUUUAUAUUUAAUCCAAAUGUUUUCAUUUUAGGGCAAAGACACUCAUGGUUGCUUUUUACUCCCCUUAAGCUCUCUCUUUUCAAUCAAAAUUGUGAGUAUUUGGUUUUAAGAAAAUCCUCCUUACCUUGAUUUCCAAGUAGUUUAUCAAUUGGAUUUUCUUAAAAAAAAUUGGUUGAUUCAUACCAUUCACUCAUCUCUCAUUUUCUUAUUUGUUUGGGUUUGGGUUUGGGUAAAAACCCAUAUUCUUCUUGUGUAAAUUCAAGAAGAAGUUGAGCACGAGCCUAAUAUGGACUCCAAGUACACUCCAAAAGAUGAAGACAUGUUGAGAGUGAGAAGGUAUUAGUCAAGUAAUUUGUGAAGGAUUAGUGGAUUGAGCCCAAUAAAUUCUUAUAUAUGUUGGUCGUUUUAAUUUCAUAUUAAAAGCUUUUGAUUAUUAGCAAGCUUGUGGUUUUUUUUUUUUUUUUUUUGCCUCUUAAGAGAUUUUUUCACAUAAAAAUCCAGUAUUAUCGUUUCUUUCUCAUUCUCUUCAUUUGGUCAUUUCCAUUUAUUGAUCUCAAUUUCUUACUUUGGCAUAUAUGUUGAGAUUUAUCCUCAUAAUCCAUAAUUUAUUUCAAUAAAACUAGUAAAAAAAUAAAAAUAAAAAUUAUGAAAUUUGAAAAAGUGCUAUAAAAAACUAAUCCAAAGAGGACCCAUGCGCCACGACACACACUGAUGUUCAAUCAUUUGACAACAUUGAGCUAUAGAUGCCUCAAUGUUACAAUCAAUGGAACCACCUGGGCUUUGGACGGACUUUUCUCAAUAGUACGGUAAUUUAAAAAAGUUAUGCUUAAAUUAUUGUACUAGAAGAAGUUAUUACAAAUAUAUGGUAGUUUUUGCCACAUAGGAAAGAGGAGAGAGGGUAAACGGAUAAAUUUUUUUAAAACCAAAAUCAUCUUUUCAAAAAGGGAACUCGUCUCUUGAAGAGACGAGUUCCAUAAAAAUAUAUAUAUAUAUAUAUAUUUAAAAAAAUUCCCAAAUUAUAAAAAUAAAAAUAAAAAUUCCUCAAGGGAACUCGUUUCCUUCAAGAGACGAGUUCUCAUGGAAAAAAAAAUUCCCAAAUUAAAAAAAAAAAGAAAAUUUCUCAAAAAAAAAAAAAAACAAUUCUUCAAGGAAACUCGUCUCUUCAAGAGAUGAGUUCCCAUUAAAAUAUAUAUAUAUAUAUAUAUAUAUAUAUAUAUAUAUAUAUAUAUAUAUAUUUUAAAUUCCCAAAUUAAAAAAAAAAUUUUAAAUUCCCAAAUUAUUAAAAAAAAAAAAAACAACUCCUCAAGGGAACNNNNNNNNNNNNNNNNNNNNNNNNNNNNNNNNNNNNNNNNNNNNNNNNNNNNNNNNNNNNNNNNNNNNNNNNNNNNNNNNNNNNNNNNNNNNNNNNNNNNAUGUAAAACAUUUUUGAGAAUUAAAAGUCGUGAACCAGAAAGAAGAGAGGAAGAACCAACCUGAGAUAUUUCUAGACUAGUACCAUUUCCGAUGUUGUUAGAACCUGAAAAUAGGAGAGGUGUUAUGACAUUGUUUAGAUUAGGAGUGAGAUGACGAGUAGAACUAGUGUCCAUGAACCAAUUGCCAUCACCAAUAGUAAGAAGCAAUCAUCACCACAAGUUCAUUGUUUAUAAAAGGUUGGAAAGAAUGAUCAAAAUGAUGAUAACAAUAUGACCAUAUUUGUUACAAACUUGCCUUUAUGGAUUUCUUUCAUCAUUUCUAGAAAAGUUCCCAUGGAAAAAAAAUAUAUAUUUUUUUAAAAAAUAUAUUUCCUUUUAAAAAAAUUCACAAAUUAAAAAAAAACGAAUUUCCUCAAGGGAACUCGUCUCUUCAAGAGACGAGUUCCCAUGGAAAAAAAAAAUAUUUUUUAAAAAAAAUUCCCAAAUUAAAAAAAAAAAAAAAGGAAUUUCCUCAGGGGAACUCGUCUCUUGAAGAGACGAGUUCCCAUAGAAAAAAAAACAUAUAUUUUUUUAAAAAAUAUAUAUAUUUUUUUAAAAAUUCCCAAAUUAAAAAAAUAAUAAUAAAAAAAAAAAUAAAAAAGGAAUUUCCUCAAGGGAACUCGUCUUUUGAAGAGACGAGUUCCCUUGUGGAAUUUUUUUUUUUUUUUUAAUUUGGGAAAUUUUUUUUUUCAUGGGAGGAAAUUCCUUUUUUUUUUUUUUUUUAAUUUGAGAAUUUUUUUAAUAUAUAUAUAUAUAUUUUUUUUUAAAUAUAUUUUUUUUUCCAUGGGAAUUCGUCUCUUGAAGAGACGAGUUCUCUUGAGGAAAUUCCUUUAUUAUUUUUUUUUAUUUGGGAAUUUUUUUAAAUAUAUAUAUAUAUAUAUUUAAAAUUUUUUUUUUCCCUUGAGGAAUUGCCUUUUUUUUUUUUUUUUUUAAUUUGGGAAAUUUUUUUUAAAUAAAAAAUAUAUUUUUUAAAUAUAUAUUUUAAAUAAUUUGGGAAUUUCUUAAACAAAAUAUAUAUAUAACUCGUCUCUUGGAAAUUCUUUUUUUUUUUCUUUUUAAUUUGCGAAUUUUUUAAAAAAAAAAUAUUUUUUUUUCCAUGGGAACUCGUCUCUUGAGGAGUUGUUUUUUUUUUUUUUUUUAAUAAUUUGGGAAUUUAAAAAAAAAAAAAAAUUCAUGGGAAGAGACGAGUUCCAUUGAGCAAUUGUUUUUUUUCUUUUUCUUUUUUUAAAUUUUGGAAUAUUUUAAAAAUAUAUAUAUUUUUUUUAAUGAGAACUCAUCUCUUGAAGAGACAAGUUUCCUUGAGGAAUUGUUUUUUUUUUUAGGAAUUUUUUUUUUAUAAAUAAUUUGGGAAUUUUUUUUUCCAUCUCUUGAAGAGACGAGUUCCCUUUGUUUGAAAAGAGCCUUGAAAAGAUGAUUUUAGUUUUAAAAAAAUUUAUCCGUUCACCCUCUCUCCUCUCUCCUAUCUCCUCUCUCCUUCACCCUCUCUCCUCUCUCCUAUGCGGCAAAAACUACCAGAUAUUUGUAAUAAUUUCUUCCACUACAAUAAUUUAAGCAUAACUUUUUUAAAUUACCGUACUAUUGAGAAAAGUCCGGCUUUGGACCCAUUACUUUUUGUUUGAUGGAUUCUGAUUCGGACCAAUCUCCUAAAUCCAAACCCGGCCUGUAGGUCCAACUCCAAGAAUUUGUGAUUUAAUCAAGCGGCCACAAAGAAAGUGAUCACACCAUGUGCUCUGCCAUGUAUCACAUGGAAUUGGCUGAUUCCAUUCUUCAAAGGUCGAGAAUCCAUUCUCAUUCAAUUUGAUGGGAUAGAGACCUGACCCUUUACAUAUAUAUAUAUAUAUAUAAAUAAAUUAUUUUAAAAAAAUUAUAUUUUAAAAAUAAAGAUAAAAAUAUACUACUUUUGACUAUUAAUUAAAUACGAAAAUUUACAUUGAAAUAAUCUUUUAAGGGACAUGCAAAUUCAUUGUUUAUAUUGUUUUAUCUUAUCAUCUAUUGAUCAGAUGAAUUUAAUUUUUUUUUUAAAUGAGUUAAUUAUUAUUAUUAUUUUGGUAGACCUCCCAAAAGCUCCUUGAUAAUCCCUUGUGCGGUUCUAAGUCUAAAAGCCGGGAGAGAAAACUUCAACAGAGCACGAGGAACUUUGGCAGGCUCCACCUGGGAAAUUAAUGAGACGAUUACCAAGGAUGUUGGAAUUGGAUUCAUAUGAGAUUUUUAUAGGGGACCCAUCUAAAAACUGAAUUUUCUAAGAGCGGUUGUCCGUUAACAAAAAUGCUUGGAACCCUUAAACAACAAGACACUUCCAUGAUUCCAUCGAAGAUAAUUUGGAAUCAUAAAAUGGUCCACAGUAGAGUCCAUAUGGAGGAAUAUCAAAAGCGAGGUCUAUAUAUAUACAUACAUAUCCUUGUUUCCUGAUCACACGCACUUCCUCAGAUAGCUAGCUAGCUAGAACUAUUGAAUCCUCCAAAGUAGUCCCUUGAAAAACAUGCCUCGUAAUUGGAACCCUUUUGAAGGCAAGUCCACAAGUGUUCCCUACACUAAGCAACAGUUACACGAAUUCUUCAAACAACAUGACAAAGACGGCGACAAAUUGCUGAGCAAGGAAGAGCUGAAAAAGGCCUUCGACGAUCUGCAGUCACGUACUCCUGGGUUUAGAGCAUGGAGAGCAAUGGGCAAAGCUGAUGCGGAUGGAGAUCAGCACAUCAGCCAGCAGGAGAUGGAGGCUCUUCUGGAUUACGCCGUGGGAAUAAAAUAUCCGGUCAAGGCAUAACAACCUUUUACUUACGUACUUUAUAAUAAGGGAUGUAUCAUGUAUAUAUGAUGCCCCAUCUUAUGAAUGUUCUCUUUACUCUACUGGGAGUGUAUGCAUUUUAUCUUUCUCUAUUUACUAGAUAUAAAGUUUAACGAUAGCAUUGAUCGAUAUAGAGCUCUUUUGGUAACCAGGUUUCAUCAAACUCUUGGUUUUGACUACUUUGAAACAUUCAGUCUUGUUGUCAAACCAACUACCAUUUGUAUUGUUCUUACUUUAGCUUUAAGCAUGGGGUGGAGUAUUCGACAACUUGAUGUACGUACAUAAUGCUUUUCUCAAUGGUAACUUAGCUGAGCAAGUCUUUAUGACUCAGCCUAAAGGGUUUGUGGACUCCUCCAAACCCAAUUAUGUGUGUAAAUUAACUAAGGUUUUUUAUGGUUUAAAACAAGCUCUGUAUGUUUGGUUCAACAAACUCAAUACUGCUCUUCUUUGGUGGGGUUUUAUGUCAAGUCAUUAAAAUAUACUUAUUAGCAUUUUCAUUGUGUUUAUUGUGACACCUACCACUACUCUAAUGAGGUGGGGUUUAGGAAUGUUAAGAUUUAGUUAGGGGUAAUUUUUUUAUUUUGGAUUUUAAAGUUGUAAUUUUCAAUGGGGGCUAUGAGUGUUGAGUUAGAUUGACAAUUUCAAACAAAAAUUUCUACAUAUCUCCUAACUCGAGUUUUUCAAAUCUUUCCUUCGAUUACUUGUGUUAUGAAGAUUAAGAUGUUGAAAUUGCUUAGAGGUCAAGGUAUAUAUUUGAGAUUGUAAAUGUAUGGAAUUGAAUCAACCAAGUUUUUAAAAUUAUUGUUUUUCUUGAACUAUUUUUUAAAAGAGUUGAGGAGGCCAAGGUAGUAGUUUUUUACUGAGUGUUUAUAUGCCCUAUUUAGGAUCAAUCCAAAUUUAAGCAAAAUUGAUCCAUCUUUUACUAGAUUUUUUUUAAGCUAUUGGAUUAAGGGUUCCCUUUCAUAUUUAAUCAAAAUGUUUCUAGUUUAAGGCAGAGACACUAGUAGUUGUUUUUUACUCCCCUUAAGCUCUCUCUCUUCAAUCAAAAUUGUGAGUGUUUGGUUUCAAGAGAAUCCUCCUUACCUUGAUUUCUAAGUAGUUUAUCAAUUGUAUUUUAUUACAAAAAUUGGUUAAUUUAUACCAUUCACUUAUCUCACAUUUUCUUAUUUGUUUGGGUUUAGGUGAAAAAUCUUGUGUAGAUUCAAGAAGAGAUCAAGAUCGAGCUUAGUAUAGACUCUAAGUACAAGCCAAAAGAUGAAGACAUAUUACUAAAAUGAAAAAGUGUUAGUCAAGUAAUUUGUGAAGAUUAGUGGACUUGAACUUAGUAAAUCUUUGUAUAUAUUAAUUGUUUUUCAUAAUGAAAACUUUUGAUCGUUGGCAAGCUUAUAGUUUUUUUUUUUUUAAGAGAUUUUUCACAUAAAAAUCUAGUGUUAUCGUCUCUCUUUUAUUCUCCUCAUUUGUUCAUUUACAUUUAUUGAUCUCAAUUUUAUGCUUAGGCAUAUAUGUCAAAUGGUGAAAAAUGAGUUUGAUCAUCCUUUGAAAAUCUUAUAUAAUUUUUUUGUUCAAGUUGAUCAUGAUAUCAAGUAAUAAUUGAAAAUGCGGUUAAAGAGUUUAUUAUUUUUGUGAAUUUAGGUUGGGGAGUGUUGAUUUAUGUGCAUGUGAAGUACAUUUAUAAAUUAUUAAAAGAGUAUUAUUGCAUUCAUGUUUGUGAUUUUUAUUUUUAUUGAAAAGUUGUUAGAAAAUAAAUAAAUAAAUCUUGGGAAACGGUAAAAAAUGAUCGAUUGUAUGUGUCAUAAGAAGUCUUAAAAUAUGUUUGAAAAUAUCUCUUCAAUGCCCUAUAAAUAUAACACAUCAUUGAGAUUCAACGACGGGGUUCAAUAAAAUUAGUCAAAAAUUAAGUAAAAAUAUAUGAAAUUUUAAGAAGUAUUUUCAAAAACUGAUCCACACGGGAGCUAUGGGCCAUGACACGUGCUAACUUUUUUUCCGUUUCACAGCAUUAGACACCUCGAUAUUACGAACAAUGGACCACCUGAUUUUUGGGCCCGUUACUUUUUGUUUGAUGGAUUCCGAUUCGGACCAAUCUCCUAAAUCCAAACCCGGCCGGUGGGUCCAAGAAUUUGUGAUUUAAUCAAGCGGCCACUGCCUAAGGGGCCGGCCACAAAGAAGUAUCAGACCACAUCCCCUGCCGUGUAUCAGAUGGAAUUGGCCGAUUCUAUCCUUCAAAAGUCGAGAAUCUAUGCUCUAUUCAAUUUGAUGAGAAGAGAGCUCACCACCCAAAAAGUGGAAGUACUUUUUUUUGGUUGUAGUCCUCCAAAAGCUCCAUGAUAAUCCCAUAUGCUGUUCUACGUCUAAAAGCUAGAAGAAAGAACUUUAACAGAAAAAUGCUUGGAACCCUUAAACAACAAGACACUUCCAUGAUUCCAUCGAAGAUAAUUUGGAAUCAUAAAAUGGUCCACAGUAGAGUCCAUAUGGAGGAAUACCCAAAAGCGAGGUCUAUAUAUAUACAUACAUAUCCUUGUUUCCUGAUCACACGCACUUCCUCAGAUAGCUAGCUAGCUAGCACUAUUGAAUCCUCCAAAGUAGUCCCUUGAAAAAACAUGCCUCUUAAUUUGAACCCUUUUCCCACCCGUGAAGGCAAGUCCACAAGUGUUCCCUACACUAAGCAACAAUUACAGGAAUUCUUCAAACAACAUGACAAAGACGGCGACAAAUUGCUGAGCAAGGUAGAGCUGAAAAAGGCCUUCGACGAUCUGCAGUCACGUAAUCCUGGGUUUAGAGCAUGGAGAGCAAUGGGCAAAGCUGAUGCGGAUGGAGAUCAGCACAUCAGCCAGCAGGAGAUGGAGGCUCUUCUGGAUUACGCUGUGGGAAUAAAAUAUCCGUUCAAGGCAUAACAACCUUUUACUUACGUGCUUUAUAAUAAGGGAUGUAUCAUGUAUAUAUGAUGCCCCAUCUUAUGAAUGUUCUCUUUACUCGACUGGGAGCAUAUGUACUUUAGCUUUCUCUAUUAACUAGACAAGUGUAAAAGUGGGAGAUGAAGCUCCGUACGUGCCUAGAUUAAAGAAUUUCCAUUUGGGGAUGCUUGGACUAAAGUGAAUCCUUCAUCAGUGCUUGUUUUGAUUUUAUAACCGUUAGUUGACAUUCAGAAACGAAACCUGUAGACCUUGUCCCGAAAGAACCUCCUCCUUUCUUUAGUCAUUCCUUCCAUCCAUUAUUGUCUUGUAAUAAAAAAUAUUUAUUCCGAAGGAUGAAAUAGUUUUCAUAUUUAAAUACUACUACUACUAAUAAUAAUAAUAAUAAUAUAUUAAAAAUUAUAUAUAUUAGAAAAUUCCUUACAAUAGAUUUUCUUUAUAUUUUAAAAUUCUUGUAAUUAGUUGUAAUUUCCUAUUUUUGUUGUAAUUCUCUAAUUCUAGGAUUGUUUCCUAUUUUUGUUGUAAUUCUCUAAUUCUAGGAUUGUUUCCUAUUUUUGUGUUUUGGGCUAAUUUGAGGAUUGUUUCAUGUUUUUGUUGUAAUCCCCUAAUUCUAGGAUUGUUUCCUAUUUUUGUGUUUUGGAUAGAUUGUUUCCUAUUUUUGUGUUUUUUGGUAACUCAAGGCAAUGCCCAUUUUUGUGUAUAUAUAUUCAUUCUUAAUCAAUGGAAAAGUUAAGUCAUUGUUUCUCAAUAAUUAUCUCUCUACUUCAACAUGGUAUCAAGAGUCUAAUCUUCUUGGGCGUAUUUUUUUUUUUUUUUUUCUUUUCCUAUAAACACUAGAAGAAAUCUACAACUAGUCUCCUCAAUGGCUUCCGGUGCAUCCUUCUCUUCCACCAACGAUCUUAUCACCAUCCAAAACUCCCAAGAUCCUCAACAUCCACUUCGUACAAUUAAUCUCUCCAAUAUCACCAAAUUGUCAUCCAUCAAUUAUCUCACAUGGAGCCUUCAAAUCCGAUCUCUUCUUGAAAGUUAUGAUCUUCAUCACUUCAUUGAUGACACUCAUUCUCCACCACCACCCACCGUCACCGUCACUGGUGUUGCAUCUCCAAAUCUGGCAUACACAACCUGGAAGCGUCAGGAUUGUCUCAUCUUUAGCGUUUUCCUUGGUGCUAUCUCUGUUUCACUACAAUCGCUUAUUUCCUGUACCACCACUUCCCUUGAUGCAUGGCAAACCUUAGCCAAUACCUAUAUCAAACAAUCUCGUGGUCAUAUUAACAAUUAAAGCGAUGUACCAAGGGCUCAAAAUCAAUUAGUGAAUAUAUGCAAGCGAUAAAGACUCGUGCUAAUGAACUUGCCCUUUUGAUGAUGAUGAUCUUAUUGAUCAGGUUCUUGAAGGACUUAGUGAUGAGUACAAAUUCGUCAUUGAUGCAAUUAAUGCCCGUGACACGUCAAUUUCUUUUGUUGAGCUCCAUGAGAAACUUCUCAACAAAGAAGCAUAUCUUCAGACCGCUCAACCAUCUCCUUUAUCACUACCAACAACGAUAAAUCCCACAACCUUUUGGAAUCAUCCAAAUUGGCGUCCACCAGCCACCACUCCACAACAACCAGGCCCUACCACUACGUUUUCUUCUCAUGAUCAACGCCAACCUAAACCUUAUUUAGGUUGUUGUCAAGCAUGCGGUAUUCAAGGACACACUGUCAAAUGAUGCCCGAUGUUUCGGCUUGUCACUAAUCAACAAUCCCCGACACCUCGUCCUCAAGGCACUCAGGCAUAUCGCCCCUCCACACCCUGGCAACCACAAGCCAAUCAUGUUGUUCUCGAUAACAACACUAAUCCUACUUGGCUGUUGGAUAGUGGAGCAUCUCACCAUGUUACGUCUGACUUGAGCAACAUCUCUCUUCAUAACCUGUAUCUAGGAUUUGAUGAUGUCAUGAUCGACGAUGGAUCGACCCUUCCAAUCACACAUACCAGUUCUACCACCAUACUUACUUUCUCUUGCACCUUUACUUUACAAAGCAUCCUUUGUGUCCCUUCCAUGCAAAAAAACUUAAUUUCAAUUUAUCAAUUUUGCAUUAAUAUCCAUGUUUCUGUUGAAUUCUCACCCUCUGUUUUUCAAGUGAAGGAUCUAAGUACGAGGGCAAUCCUUUAGAUGGGUGAACCUAAGGAUGACGUAUAUGAGUGGCCGACUACAUUCCCUUCUAUUACAUCUUCACCGAUGUUUGCAUUUUCCAAUGUCAAAACCACUUCGUCCGAGUGGCACUUUAGACUAGGUCAUCCAUCAUUAACUAUUAUGAAAAAUAUUAUCUCCAAGUGUUCUUUACCAUUGUCUAGUCUAUUAUCCUCUUCCACACAUUGUAAUGCAUGUUCAUGUAAUAAAAGUCAUAAAUUUCAUUUUCUUCUUCUACCUUAACCUCAUCAUAUCCGCUUGAACUUCUCUUUUAUGAUGUAUGGACCUCUCUUAUUUCUUCUGUUGAUGGUUUUCAGUACUAUGUUAUUUUUGUUGAUCAUUAUACACGGUAUAUUUGGUAUUAUCCACUUAAAAGGAAAUCCCAUGUGUAUGAUGUCUUUGUGCGCUUCAAGGCAUUAGUCGAAAACAAAUUUAAACACAGGAUUGUUACCCUCUAUUCAAAUAAUGGUGACAAAUAUCAAGCCCUUGAUAAUUUUCUUUUCACCAAUGGUAUAUCUCAUCUUACUACACCACCACAUACACCUGAACACAAUGGUAUUUUCAAACGACGUCAUCGCCAUAUUGUUGAAACCGGUCUAUCUCUUCUCACUCAUACAUCGAUGCCUCUAACUUAUUAGACUUACGCAUUUGCCACUGUUGUAUAUCUUAUCAACCGUAUGCCCACACCCACACUACAUCUCUCAUCUCCUUUUGACAAACUCUUUGAGUCUCCAUCCAACUACACUAAACUUUGGGUGUUCGGUUGCUUAUGUUAUCCAUGGCUUCGUCCUUAUUCUCAACAUAAACUUGACUCUCGUUCCACUCCUUGUGUUUUUCUUAGUUACUUUUCAACACAAAGUGCCUAUAUUUGUCUUGAUCUGUCCAUUUCUAAAACAUAUAUUUCUCGUCAUGUCAAAUUUCUUGAAAACUCUUUUCCCUUUACCACUCACCAAUCCCAUCUAGCUCGUCCCACCUCAAAUAUCAUUUCCAACUGGCUUUUCCCAGUCCAAACUCUACCCAUGUCAACUGGCUCACUCAAUACACCUCCACAAAGGGAUUCCUCAUGUCAACAUUCGUCACAAAAUGCCCAAUCGGUCGACUACCCCUCCUCACCAAUCGACCAUUUACCACCAGAACCAUAGAGUUUUGAGACCUCUUCUACUUCAACCACAACUCUAUCCACCCAUCCCAUGACCACUAGAGCCAAAAACAACAUUCAUAGACCCCUAACCAAGAUGAAUCUCACUAUUGUCCUUUCUCAACCAUCAGACAUUGAGUCUCAUACUGUUAACCAAGCCCUAACCGAUCCUAAAUGGAGACAAGCUAUGAAUGAUGAAUUUGAUGCUCUUGUUCGAAAUGGAACUUGGGAGCUUGUUUCAUCUACUUCUAUGCAGAAUCUUGUUGGAUGUAAGUGGGUUUUUUUCGUAUUAAACGGCUUCCUGAUGGUUCUGUUGACAAGUACAAGUACGGCUUCCUGAUGAAUUUAUACCAUUCACUUAUCUCACAUUUUCUUAUUUGUUUGGGUUUAGGUGAAAAAUCUUGUGUAGAUUCAAGAAGAGAUCAAGAUCGAGCUUAGUAUAGACUCUAAGUACAAGCCAUAAGAUGAAGACAUAUUACUAAAAUGAAAAGGUGUUAGUCAAGUAGUUUGUGAAGAUUAGUGGACUUGAACUUAGUAAAUCUUUGUAUAUAUUAAUUAUUUUUCAUAAUGAAAACUUUUGAUCAUUGGCAAGCUUAUAGUUUUUUUUUUUUAAGAGAUUUUCCACAUAAAAAUCUAGUGUUAUCGUCUCUCUUUUAUUCUCCUCAUUUGUUCAUUUACAUUUAUUGAUCUCAAUUUUAUGCUUAGGCAUAUAUGUCAAAUGGUGAAAAAUGAGUUAAAAUGAGUUUGAUCAUCCUUUAAAAAUCUUAUAUAAUUUUUUUGUUCAAGUUGAUCAUGAUAUCAAGUAAUAAUUGAAAAUGCGUUAAAGAGUUUAUUAUUUUUGUGAAUUUAGGUUGGGGAGUGUUGAUUUAUGUGUAUGUGAAGUACAUUUAUAAAUUAUUAAAAGAGUAUUAUUGCAUUCAUGUUUGUGAUUUUUAUUUUUUAUUGAAAAGUUGUUAGAAAAUAAAUAAAUAAAUAAAUCUUGGAAAACGGUAAAAAAUGAUCGAUUGUAUGUGUCAUAAGUAGUCUUAAAAUUUGUUUGAAAACAUCUCUUCAAUGCCCUCUAAAUAUAACACAUCAUUGAGAUUCAACGACGGGGUUCAAUAAAAUUAGUCAAAAAUUAAGUAAAAAUAUAUGAAAUUUUAAGAAGUAUUUUCAAAAACUGAUCCACACGGGAGAUAUGGGCCAUGACACAUGCUAACUUUUUUUCCGUUUCACAGCAUUAGACACCUCGAUAUUACGAACAAUGGACCACCUGAUUUUUGGGCCCGUUACUUUUUGUUUGAUGGAUUCCGAUUCGGACCAAUCUCCUAAAUCCAAACCCGGCCGGUGGGUCCAAGAAUUUGUGAUUUAAUCAAGCGGCCACUGCCUAAGGGGCCGGCCACAAAGAAGUAUCAGACCACAUCCCCUGCCGUGUAUCAGAUGGAAUUGGCCGAUUCUAUCCUUCAAAAGUCGAGAAUCUAUGCUCUAUUCAAUUUGAUGAGAAGAGAGCUCACCACCCAAAAAGUGGAAGUACUUUUUUUUGGUUGUAGUCCUCCAAAAGCUCCAUGAUAAUCCCAUAUGCUGUUCUACGUCUAAAAGCUAGAAGAAAGAACUUUAACAGAAAAAUGCUUGGAACCCUUAAACAACAAGACACUUCCAUGAUUCCAUCGAAGAUAAUUUGGAAUCAUAAAAUGGUCCACAGUAGAGUCCAUAUGGAGGAAUACCCAAAAGCGAGGUCUAUAUAUAUACAUACAUAUCCUUGUUUCCUGAUCACACGCACUUCCUCAGAUAGCUAGGUAGUUCUCCAAAGUAGUCCCUUGAAAAACAUGCCUCGUAAUUGGAACCCUUUUCCCAAAGAUGAAUGCAAGUGCACAGAUAUUCCCUACACUAAGCAGCAGUUACAUGAAUUCUUCAAACAACAUGACAAAAACGGCAACAAUUUGCUGAGCAAGGAAGAGCUGAAAAAGGCCUUCGACGAUCUGCAGUCACGUAAUCCUGGGUUUAGAGCAUGGAGAGCAAUGGGCAAAGCUGAUGCGGAUGGAGAUCAGCACAUCAGCCAGCAGGAGAUGGAGGCUCUUCUGGAUUACGCUGUGGGAAUAAAAUAUCAGAUCAAGGCAUAACAACCUUUCACUUACGUGCUUUAUAACAAGGGGUCAACUAUAUAUGUAUGAUGCCCCAUCUUAUGAAUGUUCUCUUUACUCGACUGGGAGCAUAUGUACUUUAGCUUUCUCUAUUUACUAGAUCAGUGUAAAAAUGGGAGAUGAAGCUCCGUACGUGCCUAGAUUAAAGAAUUUCCAUUUGGGGAUGCUUGGACUAAAAUGAAUCCUUCAUCAGUGCUUGUUUUGAUUUAAUUUAUAACCGUUACUUGACAUUCAGAAACGAAAC